AUGGGGAUCCCGAGCCCGAGCGACGAGGUGGUCCAAAUCGUGCACGGGGACAGCGCCGGCGACCCCACCGUGGUCACCGUGAGCUGCCCCGACAAGACCGGCCUGGGCUGCGACCUCUGCCGCCUCGUCCUCCUCUUCGGCCUCAACGUCCUCAAGGGCGACAUGAGCACCGACGGCCGCUGGUGCUACAUCGUGCUCUGGGUCGCCGCCUCGCGCCGGGGCCGGCCCCCCGUCGCCUGGGACCUCCUCAAGGAGCGCCUCGUCGACCUCUGCCCCGUCCCCGCGCCCUUCGGAGUCGACAGCGCCUACCUCGCCGCCGCCGGCCUCCAGGAGCCCGCCGGAGAGCCCCAGGUGUUCCUGCUCAAGUUCUGCUGCUACGACCGGAUGGGCCUCCUGCACGACGUGACAUGCGUGCUGUGCGAAAUGGAGCUUACGAUUAGGAGGGUCAAGGUCUCCACCACGCCCGACGGCAGAGUCAUGGACCUUUUCUUCAUCACCGAUGCUAGGGAACUUCUACACACAAAGAGCAGGAGGGAAGAGGCCUACGAAAAGCUGCAGAGCGUCUUAGGUGACUCGGUGACGAGUUGUGAAAUAGAAUCCGCGACGGAGGACAUGUCUUCUUGCCUCCAAGCUUCAGCGUUGUUGUCGCCUCUUGUCCUGGAGCAGAUGUUCAGCGAGGUUGAUGUCAUUGAGGAGCAGUCGAGCCGCUCGAGGUCUGACAGUAGACUGUCGGUCACAAUGGACAACUCCCUCAGCCCCGCGCAUACCCUGAUUCAGAUCCAGUGCGGCGACCACAAGGGCCUCCUGUACGACAUCAUGAGAACAGUCAAGGACUGCAACAUCCAGAUUUCGUAUGGUCGGUUCUACGCGGGCCAGAAGGGCCGGUGCGAGGUGGACCUUUUCGCGGUGCAGUCGGACGGGAAAAAGAUACUUGACCAGCAGAAACAGAGGACGAUGUGCUCUCGGCUGAGGACGGAGCUGCUGCGGCCGCUCCGCGUGGCGCUGGUGAACCGGGGCCCCGACGCGGAGCUGCUGGUGGCGAACCCGGUGGAGGUGUCCGGGAAGGGCAGACCGCUGGUGUUCUACGACAUCACGCUCGCGCUCAAGAACCUCCAUAGACGAGUCUUCUUGGCCGAGAUUGGAAGGCAUGUGGUGGAUGAUAGAGAGUGGGAGGUGUACAGGGUGCACCUGGGGGAGGACGACCACGAGCUCUCGUGCUCGGUGCGGAGCAAGAUCGUCGACGGCGUCACCAACAUGCUCAUGGGCUGGGACUGA
rnacentral:rRNA from 1 species